rnacentral:rRNA from 1 species
ACGAAGGGGGCUAGCGUUGCUCGGAAUGACUGGGCGUAAAGGGCGCGCAGGCGGUUAUUAAAGUCAGAUGUGAAAUUCCUGGGCUUAACCUGGGGGCUGCAUUUGAUACGGUAUGACUAGAGUGUGAAAGAGGGUUGUGGAACUCCAAGUGUAGAGGUGAAAUUCGUAGAUAUUUGGAAGAACACCGGUGGCGAAGGCGGCAACCUGGUUCACAACUGACGCUGAGGCGCGAAAGCGUGGGGAGCAAACAGG